rnacentral:tRNA from 1 species
GCCCUCGUAGCUCAGUCGGAUAGAGUGCCGGAUUCCUAAUCCGUAGGUCGCAGGUUCGAAUCCUGCCGGGGGCGCCA